GAAGUUUCGGAUCGCGCGAACCCGGCGGUUCGCCGCCGGUGUUGUUGUGAGAAGUUCAUUAAACCUUAUCAUUUAGAGGAAGGAGAAGUCGUAACAAGGUUUCCGUAGGUGAACCUGCGGAAGGAUCAUUG
rnacentral:rRNA from 1 species